rnacentral:ncRNA from 1 species
AAGAGGGGUGCUGAACCUGUUGGUUCUGGCUGAGAUUAUACCCGUUUAACCUGAUGCAGAUAAUGCUGCCGUAGGGAUUUGCGAAU